GGGAGGGUGGGGGGGCCAUUUCCCCCCCCACAUGAUGAACUCUGCGCAUGCCCACAGAGAGGGCUCUGAGUGCCACCUCUGGCACCCGUGCCAUAGGUUCGCCAUCACUGUUCUAAACCUUUGGUUGCCCCUGCUCCACUAAGCCCUAUUGACAGCUAGACGGUACAUCUAUUUCUCACUCUUUCUCCGCGCUGUAUUCAAAGUUAUCCAGUAAAUUUGUGGCUAUGUCAGAAUUCGACUCCAGGAUCAACAGCCUGGCUUCAGGACUAUUACUUCCAAUUUCCAGGUGGUGGUUAGAGAUCUCCCGGAAUUACAACUGAUCUCAAAGCUGCAAGGAAUCAUUUCCGCUGGAGAAAACGCCUGCUUUGCUGUUUUAUACAUAAUAGAUCAAUUCCAGACUUUCAGGAAAAAUGGAACUUAAAAAAAUAUAUAGCUGAAAAUUAAAAAUAAAGUUGAAUCAAAGCACAAGAAUAAAGAUUUAGGCGAAUAUGUUUUAUUAUAAAGAUGUUAUUAUAUAUGAAGAUAUAUUGAAAAGGCAGAGUAACCAUUUGUUUAAAAUGUAUUUAGAAAGUAAGCUCCAUAGAAACAAAGAAUAUGAACGUCUGUGUUUUUAAUAUAUGUUUAUGUUUACUUUGUGUAAUAUAUGUUUUGUUAUAAAGAUGUUAUUAUAUAUGAAGAUAUAUUGAAAAGGCAGAGUAACCAUUUUUUAAAAUGUAUUUAGAUAGUGAGCUCCAUAGAAACUAAGAAUAUGAAAGUCUAUGUUUUUAAUAUAUGUCUAUGUUUACUUUGUGUAAUAUAUGUUUUAUUAUAAAUAUGUUAUUAUACAUGAAGAUAUAUUGAAAAGGCAGAGUAACCAUUUUUUAAAAUGUAUUUAGAUCGUGAGCUCCAUAGAAACGAAGAAUGUGAAAGUCUAUGUUUUUAAUAUAUGUCUAUGUUUACUUUGUGUGUUGAAAUAAAAUGUAAUUUUAAAAAGUUAAAA